ensembl:rRNA 5S_rRNA 5S ribosomal RNA
GUCUACAGCCAUACUACCUUGAACGCGCCUGAUCUCAUCUGAUCUUGGAAGCUAAGCAAGGUCAGGCCUGGUUCGUACUUGGAUAAAAAUUUCACCUUAAUUAAAAAACGGUGUGUAGAGA